rnacentral:rRNA from 1 species
AAUAUUGGACAAUGGGCGAAAGCCUGAUCCUGCCAUGCCGCGCGUGUGAAGAAGGUCUNCGGUUUNUNAAGCACUUUUAGUUGGGNGGAAGGGUUGUAGGUUAAUACCCUGCAAUUUUGACGUUACCAACAGAAUAAGCACCGGCUAACUUCGUGCCAGCAGCCGCGGUAAUACGAAGGGUGCAAGCGUUAAUCGGAAUUACUGGGCGUAAAGCGCGCGUAGGUGGUGCGUUAAGUUGGAAGUGAAGGCACAGGGCUCAACCUGGGAACUGCUUUCAAAACUGGCAAGCUAGAGUAUGGCAGAGGGUGGUGGAAUUACCUGUGUAGCGGUGAAAUGCGUAGAUAUAGGAAGGAACAUCAGUGGCGAAGGCGACUACCUGGACUGAUACUGACACUGAGGUGCGAAAGCGUGGGGAGCAAACAGG